ACCAAGGAGUCUAGCAUGUGCGCGAGUCAUUGGGAAAGCACUAAACCUAAAGGCGAAAUGAAAGUGAAUGUCCGCCUCGCGCGGACAGUGGGAGGAUGGGCACGUCGUUCGGCGGCCCCGCACUCCCGUGGCGUCUCGUUCUCAUCGCGAGAUGAGGCGCACACAGAGCGUACACGCUGGGACCCGAAAGAUGGUGAACUAUGCCUGGUCAGGACGAAGUCAGGGGAAACCCUGAUGGAGGUCCGUAGCGAUUCUGACGUGCAAAUCGAUCGUCGGAACUGGGUAUAGGGGCGAAAGACUAAUCGAACCAUCUAGUAGCUGGUUCCCUCCGAAGUUUCCCUCAGGAUAGCUGGCGCUCGCUUCGUGCGAGUCUCAUCCGGUAAAGCGAAUGAUUAGAGGCAUUGGGGUCGAAACGGCCUCAACCUAUUCUCAAACUUUAAAUGGGUGAGAUCUCCGGCUUGCUCGAACACGUGAAGCCGCGAGAUUUCGGAUCAGAGUGCCAAGUGGGCCACUUUUGGUAAGCAGAACUGGCGCUGUGGGAUGAACCAAACGCAGAGUUAAAGCGCCCAAAUCGACGCUUAUGGGAUACCAUGAAAGGCGUUGGUAACUUAAGACAGCAGG
rnacentral:rRNA from 1 species